GAGGGUGUUGUAAAACCAAGUAACUGUUGGCUGUCAUAAUAUCCCAAAUACUGUGACUCACAGGUUUCUCGGUGUUUUCUGCUGUGAUUAGGAAUCCAUUUCCUUCACUGGGACCUCACAGGAAAACACAAAACCAAAAUAACACCUAGGUAUGAGAGAGUACUCCAACAAACUCUCUUAAACUUCCGUGCCAUUUGUUUUUAACUUUGUAAUCCUGUGUUGGUAAGAAGUGAGAGGAUAGGCUAGGAAAUAAGGUUGGACCUCUUUCCAUCCCUUUUAUAGUUUAAAGUUGCUUUUAUUUUGAGAGCGAGGGAGAGAACCCCAAACAGGCUCUGCACUGUCAGCCCAGAGCCCAUCGCGGGGCUUGAACUCAUGAACCGUGAGAUCAUGACCUGAGCCGAGAUCAAGAGUAGGAGGCUUAAUCGACUGAGCCAGCCAGAUGCUCCUCCCUCUUACAGUUUAAAUGUCACCUAAAAAGAGCUUCAGAAAGGUUCAGGAUUCCAAUAGACAAGAAUGCACAGACAAGGCAAAACCUAAGAGUCAGCGGUGAGGGGAAGGCGCCGCCAGCUGGGUUUCUUAGCUCUCCCUCUGACCUAGAAAAAGCCCCGUGGGAAGCCAAGAAGGAAAAGACCCAAUAAUUCAAAUACAAAUGGAUCAAGGCUCACAGGAUCCCUCGCUCCCUCUAGUCUUCCUGAUGCCAGCCUGGAGGCAGAAAUUAACCAGGGUCACUCAGGGAAUAAUGGCCCUGGUGAGGGGAGGCAGAGCCUACUCCAGGGGGCCUAGGGGGCCCUGAGGGCACCACCGAUGGCAGGGGUAGGAAGUGGGAUGAGAUGGGCCCAGAUUUUUUUAUUACAGCUGACAUUUCCAGAAAACAACAGUGGAUGGUGGCAGGUGUGUUCGGACUGAGCUGUGAAGCAAAGGAGGAAAAGGAAUUAGUGUGGAAAUCCUUCCUUGAACCCAAAGGCAUCCAGUCUCCAUGAGUAAGUCUAAGUGUCUUUUCUGAACCACACAGUAAUGGCUGAACUGUCCUCAACAAAGUUUAGAGGCACCUUUGGGAUGGUAUAACUUAGAAUAUACAGGCUUCAUGGUGUCAAUAGAAUUUGCUUUGGAGGGCCUCAGGGGCAUCUCAGAGACAGUUCUUCUGCAGAGCGGCUGAAACGGAGAUUUAACUAGGGGCUUCUAAUGGAGGCUCAACAGGCCAUAUUUGUUAAGACGAUGGAGAAAUGGUGGUUUCAAACAUGCACACCAAGUUGUAAGGACCAAGGGCAAACCUUCCCAAUAGCAGGCAUUGCUCGGACACCUUUUGCAGCAUCUCAAGGGCCACCAGGCCACGAGGUGAACAAAACAGGGAUUUAUUAAUUUAACAAUGCUCGGGAAUUCUAAACGGCAUAUAUAUAUACAUAUAUCUAUAUAUCUAUAUCUAUAUAUGUAUAUGUGUAUCUGUAUAUGUAUAUAUACACAUAUAUAGAUAUAGAUAUAGAUAUAGGUAUAGAUAUAGAUAUAGAUAUUUGGGACAAAGAGUAAACUUUAGAUAGACCCAAUACUUAUCCUCUGUAAGCUUCCAACAGGUCACCGUCACUAUUAUAGAAAAACUGGUACAGCUAACAAAAUUUAAAAAUAAAACAGAGAGCUGGAAGUGAGAUAGUAAAAGACCACUUCAAGUGGCCUAGAUGAGAGCCCAGACAAGCAUCCUCUCUCAGGCCUCUGAUUCUGGAUUUUCUCUAGAUAACACUGGGUCGUUCUUGUUUCAGGAAGUAAGGAGGAAACCAAAGGCCUAAUUAUCUAUGGAGAUGUGGCACCACCACAGGGCUCCUCAUGGCAGGAGAAGCCGGCAGAAUGCAGCUAAUCUCCACAGUCCUCAGAAAGACGGGAGAAGCAACUCAGGCCCCUUAGACACAGAUGUUCGGGCUGGAUUUCCUGAGGAGCUCUGACCCGGCAGAGAAGCUCACAGCCAGAGAUCAACACAAUAAUUAAUAGGAGGCUCAGUCAUCAAAUGCCAGGUUUGACCGAGGAAGGCAGAAAGUCAGUAUCCUCCCCAUUAUUUCCCAAGGCCAGAGCCUUACACGGGACAUGGCCCCACGGUCCCGAUGGUACUGACAGUGCCCAUGACAAAGUUUUACUGGAAGAAAGGCAUAAUCACUUGUUUCUGGAUUACCUCUGGUUGUUCUGACCUACAGCAGCACAGGUGAGUCAUUCCAACGGAGACAACCUGGCCCAUAAAGCCAGAACUAUUCACUAUCUAUUUACAGAAAAAGCUUGUCAACUCCUGCUCUCUGCCCUUACCUCCUUACUUUUCUUUGUAGGAUGUAGAACUAUUACCCCUCCUGUGAUAUCACCUCUGCAAAGACACGAACUUUCGUUUGGUGAGUUAUUGCUGGCACCUAGAACGCUGCUGGGCACAUAGUAGGUGCUCUAUAAACACUUGGUGAAUCGAUACAUUUAAAAAUCCAGAUUUCAGGGGUUGUGUGGGACACGGCUCGUUACUCAAAGAACAUGAAGUAUCACAACUACAGUCUGCUGUCUCUAUUUCUCAGCCAGAAAAGCCAAGCUUAAGACCCAAGCAGAUCCACACAGAAAGGCCAGAAAGAAAAUGCUGACCAUUGGCCUGGUCACGCGCUGGGUUGAAGACAGACGCCAGCACUGCUGUUAUGUCAAGAGGAACGCAAGCUUUAAAAACAAAACACUUUAUUUUAAUGAACUCCAUGAUUUUUAAAUGCCUUCCCCCCCCCCCCCCUUAUAGGGGAGAGGUAAAGCUGUCAAAAUUAUCAAAAAAUUCAAAUCUCCUUUUCUUCAGGGGGCUGUCCGUCAACGUGCUUUCAUCCAGCAUGCCUCCCAGGUCCUGGAAACCACUUCCAGGGUCAAAGGAUUCUGCAGCCUCCAGGAGCUCCCUGUCACUUCCGUCUUCCUCAAAGGACUUCUGGAAGAAGUCGUAGAUCUGCUGCUGCUUUGGGUCCUUCAUCAGAGAGAGGAAACAAGCGAUGAGCAGAAGAGUGCGGGCUCCAGCACUGCCUGCCCCCACCGCCUCCUCCUCUGGGAGGGAGACACAGAGGUGGGGGCUGCACGUUUUACGUCGUCCAGUGCCGCACGAUGGCCGGUGCAGCCCCAGGUGGCCUUACCACCUGACAUCUUUUCUUCUUUGCUACUCGUGGGGUAAAGGAAAAGAAAAAAAAAAAGGAAAGAAGGAAAAGGAAGAAACGGUGUGAGAGCAACUGAAGAACGCACUCUCAAACUAUAAUAUUUGUUGGAAACGUUUUCUGCCUUCUAGCUUUCCAAAUGGGUAUUGAAAUUGCUCCCAAGCUCUCACUUCCCGCAAAGCCGUUCUCCACCAAAGGCUAAUAGUUAAGUUGUAAUUCAACGCCAAAGCAGUGUGCUCAGCCAUGGCUUACCCCUAAUUUUCAGAGUGAUUAAUAAAACAGACACAUACUUGACACACCGAUGAGCAGAUUCCCACACUUGUUUCAUACGCCCACCAACUCCACGGGUACGCAGUCGGCAACGAUACAGUGUCAGGUCAUGCCCGGCAGUUACAACCACAGCGACAGGCUCGCGACAACAGCGACGGGCUCGCUGUUACCCCUCUGCUGUCCUCUCGCAAGUGCGAAUUCCUGACCCUGACCGUGUUUCCAUCCAGAGGGACAUUUUCAGGAUCUCCGCGGACAUCGCGGUCCCAUUAAACUAAAGCUGUUUAAACCAAAACCAUCUCUCCUCUCAAUCCUACAUCCUCCCACCAGCAGCUCUUUCCGAAAAGCCCAGUUUUCAUGGUUCCCCACCAUUUUUCUCGUCUCCCUGGCUUGCGAUCACCAGGGUGUCCCGACCGUGAAUGUCCUAUGUCAAACUGGCAGCCAGUCUGCCUCUCCUGUCUGUUCCCUCCGUGAUGCUCCACAGGCACACCCUUCACUCAGACCGUGGCACUGGGCACCUGUACGGAUUUGCAAUGGCUCCCCUGUAGGCCCCUUCCCAUUUCAAUCCCUGGCAGGUCUCUGCCAGGCUGACUUCUGCCCCAGGCUGUCCUUGAACAGGAUCUUCUUGUCACAUCCUGGGGUCCCCGUGUCUACCUCACUGAUGCUAAAGUAGCUUCCCUGGUUUUUCAGCCCCUUUCUAAUCAGGUCUCAACCUAGCUGGCCUCUAUUUCCUCACUGUUCCUUACCAAAAAGCCCUCGGCACUGGUGACGCUAAGUCCUUGAAACCUGAUCAAAGAGCUCCAGAUUAUCCAACCAACCUGCAUCCAACAUUCCCUUGCCUUUCAGGACCCCAGCCUUCCCCAGGAGGAGUGAUAUUAAAGUUGAUUAAGGUCAGCCUCACGUGAUCCACGUGUCUUCCUCCAGAAACAGUCUCAUCGGCCUCUGUCUGAAGGAACUGCAAGGUCAAAGAAAUGCUGCCCCACAAGGCAGCCUGUUCCAAGUAAAACAACUGUUAGCCUGCAUUUGAUUAUGAUGGUGGCAAGACCGUGAGCUAAUUCAGAGCAUGCAUGAUUAAUGGAAGGAAGUUCCAAGAUCAGAUUAGUAUUCCACUUCCCCUCUCGGAAGGCAGGCUAUCUCAGCAAGACAUAAACUCUUUUGCUUUUACCUCCUACUAGGAGGCAACGUCUUCUUUUCCUACUCGUUGAUGAAAUUUUCAGCCCUCUUUUAAUUAAAAAAAUAGAUAUAAGUAUCAAUCAAAACAAAUAUUGAUGAACUGCAUUUAUAUUAUCUCGCACUUGUACCAUAGGCAGAAAUUCUUCACUAAUUCAGAGUAAGUGACGGUAAGGGCAGUAUGAUAAAUGAGUUCUAAAUAAAUUCAUUCGCACCGAUUCAGAAUCCUUUAAAAAUAAGCCUCCUUCUUUUCAAAGGGCAUAUGAUAACCAAGGCUCUGUUAAAAUAUUUACCAUCCAACUGAAUUCGAGAGUUCUUUAAAAAGCUCAAAAGUAAGUUUGUCUUAUUUGUUUUUAAAUUAGGUGUUUGAAAUUUUCAACUUAUUAUUUUUUAAUGAUUUUUAAUUUAUUUUUGAGAGAGAAAAAGUGUGAGCAGGGGAGGGACAAAGAGAAAGAGACAUAGAAUCUGAAGCAGGCCCCUGGCUCUGAGCUGACAGCACAGAGCCCGAUGCAGGGCUUGAACCCACUUACAGUGAGAUUAUGACCUGAGCCAAAGUCGGAUGCUUAACCAACUCAGCCACCCAGGCACCCCAAAACUAAGGUUGUUUUAAAAUUAGCUUAUUAACUGUUUCUAUCUAUAAGGAUAAUUUACACUCUACAUUUAAAAAUAUGAUCUCUGUGGGGCACCUGGGUGGCUCAGUCUGGUUAAGCAUCUGACUUAAGCACAGGUCAUGAUCUCGGGGUUUACGAGUUCAAGUCCUGCUUCAGGUGAGCCUGCUUCUCUCUCUCUCCCUCUCUCUCGUCUUACUGUCUCUCGUGGGAUUCUCUUUCUCUCCCUCUCUCUCUGCCCCUCACUCACUUGUGCCCCCUCUCUCUCAAAAAAAAAAAAGGAAAAAAUGAUCUGAGUAUUAUUUAUCUCAAUAAUUACAUUUGAAAGGAAGCCUUUAGUUGCUAAAUGAAUGUAAAUGAAAGAUCAAAUCCUCAGACUCUCUGGUCUUCCUGUCACUCAAAGAUUUUGCUGAUUUAACUCCCCUUCUGAUUCUGGGCAGUUCCAUGAGAAGGAGAGGACACCGAGGUUUCCAGAUGAGCUACUGAGCUACGGUAAGGCCGCCUAUCUGCACGAGGCUGGGGGAAAUCCCCAGGAGGCAUCCACACCUUCUCUCUCAGGACCCAAGGGCUGAGCAGACAACUUAAUGCACACCCCCCGCCCCCACCCCGCCCCAGUGGCAAGGAGUCAUGUGCUGGUGUUACCUUGUGGAAAUAAUCAGUGGCUUCUGCCAUUUCUGAAAAACUGGUCUGAGAAAGUCCGGCUUCACCCAGAACUUUAAUCUUCUCUUGAAUCAUGGGCCUAUUGGGGAGAAAUGAGCUGCAGUGACUACAAGCUGCACAGAACCAGCAGACUGAUUAAAAGGAGACCACCCUCCUUGAUUUUAUAGGACUGAGGCAUGCUGUUUCACUUCUUUGCAGCUCUCAAGGCACAAAUACCCAUCCAAAAAUAUUUCCCUCCUCUCAGCUGUGAACCAAUUUAGGGCUCAUAUCAUGAGGUUCAAAGUUCUAUUGGAAGAUGUAGAGGAAAUAAAUGUCUCAUUAAAACAAAAUUCAGGGGGCACCUGGGUGACUCAGUUGGUUAAGCAUCCAACUUCAGCUCAGGUCAUGAUCUCGCAGUUUGUCAGUUCGAGCCCCACAUCAGGCUCUGUGCUGACAGCCCAGAGCCUGGAGCCUGCUUCAGAUUCUGUGUCUCCCUCUCUCUCUGCUCCUCCCCCUUUUGUGCUUUGUCUCUCUCUCUUGAGAAAUAAACAUUAAAAAAAAAAUU